rnacentral:rRNA from 1 species
AUACGGAGGAUCCGAGCGUUAUCCGGAUUUAUUGGGUUUAAAGGGUGCGCAGGCGGGAGAUUAAGUCGGCGGUGAAAUUUUGCAGCUCAACUGGAAAAGUGCCUUCGAAACUGGUUUCCUUGAGUGUAGAUGAAGUAGGCGGAAUUUGUGGUGUAGCGGGGAAAUGCAUAGAUAUCACGAGGAACUCCGAUUGCGCAGGCAGCUUACUAAACUACUACUGACGCUCAGGCACGAAGGCGUGGGGAUCAAGCAGGAUUAGAUACCCUGGUAGUCCACGCAGUAAACGAUGAUUACUAGCUGUUUGCGAUACAAUGUAAGCGGCUGAGCGAAAGCGUUAAGUAAUCCACCUGGGGAGUACGUUCGCAAGAAUGAAACUCAAAGGAAUUGACGGGG